rnacentral:rRNA from 1 species
CACGUAGUUAGCCGGUGCUUUUUCUGCAGGUACCGUCACUCUCGCUUCUUCCCUACUAAAAGAGGUUUACAACCCGAAGGCCGUCAUCCCUCACGCGGCGUUGCUGCAUCAGGCUUGCGCCCAUUGUGCAAUAUUCCCCACUGCUGCCUCCCGUAGGAGUCUGGGCCGUGUCUCAGUCCCAGUGUGGCCGGUCACCCUCUCAGGCCGGCUACCCGUCGUAGGCUUGGUGAGCCAUUACCUCACCAACAACCUGAUAGGCCGCGAGUCCAUCCCCAACCGAAAUUCUUUCCACGACCAGACCAUGCGGCCAGUCGUCGUAUCCGGUAUUAGCUACCAUUUCUAGCAGUUAUCCCAGAGUCGGGGGCAGGUUACUCACGUGUUACUCACCCGUUCGCCACUGAUCCGCCAGAGCAAGCUCUGACAUCACCGUUCGACUUGCAUGUGUUAAGCACGCCGCCAGCGUUCGUCCUGAGCCAGGAGUCAAAACUCU